CAGUAGCCGCGGGAAUACGUAGGGUGCAAGCGUUAAUCGGAAUUACUGGGCGUAAAGCGUGCGCAGGCGGUUCGCUAAGACAGAUGUGAAAUCCCCGGGCUUAACCUGGGAACUGCAUUUGUGACUGGCGGGCUAGAGUAUGGCAGAGGGGGGUAGAAUUCCACGUGUAGCAGUGAAAUGCGUAGAGAUGUGGAGGAAUACCGAUGGCGAAGGCAGCCCCCUGGGCCAAUACUGACGCUCAUGCACGAAAGCGUGGGGAGCAAACAGGAUUAGAUACCCCGGUAGUCCCUGUCUCUUAUAC
rnacentral:rRNA from 1 species